UACGGAGGGUGCAAGCGUUAUCCGGAUUCACUGGGUUUAAAGGGUGCGUAGGCGGGCAGGUAAGUCCGUGGUGAAAUCUCUGAGCUUAACUCAGAAACUGCCAUGGAUACUAUUUGUCUUGAAUAUUGUGGAGGUGAGCGGAAUAUGUCAUGUAGCGGUGAAAUGCUUAGAUAUGACAUAGAACACCAAUUGCGAAGGCAGCUUACUACACAAUGAUUGACACUGAGGCACGAAAGCGUGGGGAUCAAACAGG
rnacentral:rRNA from 1 species